GACAGAGGUGCCGAGCGUUAGGCGGAAUCACUGGGCUUAAAGCGUGUGUAGGCGGGUCCGUCAGUACCUUGUGAAAUCCCACGGCUCAACCGUGGAACUGCUCGGUAUACUGCGGGUCUUGAGCUGUCUAGGGGCGACCGGAACAAGCGGUGGAGCGGUGAAAUGCGUAGAUAUCUGGAGGAACACCGGUGGCGAAGGCGGCAUCCUGGACUACUACUGACGCUGAGUGAGCGAAAGCCAGGGGAGCAAACGGG
rnacentral:rRNA from 1 species